rnacentral:misc_RNA from 1 species
CAGUCACCAAUGGCACUAUCGUAUGCGCACCUUCGACAACCGUUCAGGGCAGCAAACUGAUUAGGUUCCAACCCAACAGUGUUAUCAAAUGUACGACCUCAACGUCAUGUGAGCAUUGUAAGGAGGAGUGAUGGCAUAACAUGUGAUUUGUUGGAGGUGUUGGGUUAUUUGCACGGUACACUACGAGCAUUCCGGUGUAUCGUACUCGCUCAUGCCUAUCUCCGUUGUGUCUCUUCCAACUACUUGUACCUCAUCCAUUACCCCAAACCCCAUUGGAUGACAGCAAGACAAUGGACAUGUCUGAGAGGAGAGAAACCAGGACGGAUUUCGGGAUGAUGGCCGGAUAUUAAUUGCUCGACGGCAGUGUGGAUGCACCGAGCCGGCAUUAAGCAGGCCAUGUCUAUGUCUAUAUUUCCGUGUCUUGGAGCUAUUGUUGGUGGUCUAUACUGUAUCCUAUUUU